GAGCACGUAGGUGGGUUUGUAAGUCAGAUGUGAAAGCCUUCUGUUCAAAGGAAGAACGGCAUCUGAAACUGCUAAUCUUGAGUGUAGGAGGGGAGAGUGGAACUUCUGGUGGAGCGGUGAAAUGCGUAGAUAUCAGAAGGAACGUCGGCGGCGAAAGCGACUCUCUGGCCUAUUACUGACACUGAGUGUGCGAAAGUUAGGGGAGCAAACGGGAUUAGAUACCCCGGUAGUCCUAACCGUAAACGAUGGGCACUAAGUAGAGGGAAUUACCAAUGUUCUCUCUGCCGUAGCUAACGCAUUAAGUGCCCCGCCUGGGGAGUACGGCCGCAAGGCUAAAACUCAAAAGAAUUGACGGGGGCUCGCACAAGCGGUGGAGCAUGUGGCUUAAUUCGAUGCAACGCGAAAAGCCUUACCGGGGUUUGACAUGGUAGAAGUAGGAGCCCGAAAGGGUAACCAACGGUAUCCAGUCCGUAACUAUUACAGGUGUUGCAUGGCUGUCGUCAGCUCGUGUCGUGAGACGUUGGGUUAAGUCCCCUAACGAGCGAAACCCUUAUUUUUUGUUACCAUCGGGUUAUGCCGGGUACUCUAGAAAGACUGCCGUCGUCAAGACGGAGGAAGGUGGGGAUGACGUCAAGUCAUCAUGGCCCUUAUACCCCCGGGCUGCACACGUGCUACAAUGGUCGGUACAAAAGGAAGCAAGACCGAGAGGUGAAGCGAAUCC
rnacentral:rRNA from 1 species